AAGUUGCUCAAAACAGGCAACUCUUACAAACUUCUAAUUGAGAAACGUCGGAUAAUUACUACUUGUAAUAUAUAUAUUUCUUGCCUCAAGGUGGAACAAACAAAAGUUUCUGAUAAUUUCUUCAGUUACAGGACCUUAAUGAAAGGACAAUUAUAACGUUCGGGUAAUUGGGACUCGUAGAAUAUAGGUUAUCGAUUUUUAUCAAGUGUUUGUCCUACACAUUACCACUUGGAAUACUUGUUUUAACUUCUGAAGGGGCAGAGCAAAAAGUCAUCCAACUUGAGCGGAUAUUGAAAAAAUAUGAUAACGCCAGACAAAUUAUACGAAUAUCGGCAGGAUCGAAGCGUCGAAAAGCAGCUGCGUGAAAAAAAUUACAGCCACGAUUAUUGUGUUCCGCUUCAGUUCCCUUCUCCCCUUUACGGAACUAUAUAUUUCCACGGAAAGUAUCACGAUCAAAUCUCGAAAACUCAAUAGAGCAUUAGUGGUCAAUUAGUUCGAACGAAAUAGGUCAAACAACAUAAGGGCGUCAAUGGCGGGUAUGUAUAUCCAGCCAAAACUCCCACGCAAGCGAACUUUAGAUAUAGCUUAUAGCCAGAGUUCGUUCAAACUACCUUCUAAAUGGUAUUGUUACUUAAAACUAUAACGAAAUAAUUUUACUGUAACAAACUAAUCGCUCUGUCGCUUGAGAAUUGGACGUCACCAACCUGAAAGCAAAUAUAGCGGACCAGGAUCUAACGAAUAAAACACGGACCGGUCUAGAAUGUCGGCGGUAGAUUCUUGCGCGCAGGUGCUGAUAAUAGCCAAAUGUGCCGUCCAUCCGUAAAAACGAAAUAAAAACAACAGUUAGUAAUAAGGAUACACGGGGCCGAUUAGAGGAAGCACAUUAUUAGCAAACAGACGUCGAUAUGACGAUUGGUUCGACGAUUGGGUUCAUCAUUUUUUUUUUGUCAAUUUUUAUUUUGUAAUUUUACCAUCCAAAUACGACGUGCAAUCAUUCAAGUGUCGUAUUAUAUAUGUUCAUUAUCCAGCUGGCGUCUCAUUCUCCUUAUACGAAACGGCCAUGCGUUGUUCAAUUAGAUAGAAUAGUAAAUUUACUGCAAAAUUUAUAAUUUCGGAAUAACCCACAAGCAAGCUGAAUCUCUAACGUAGAAGCUUUGGUUGACUUUCAUGAUUCUGGGGUUUCAAGCCUUAAGCGUACCGGCUUGAAGGUUUAGUAUCUGUAUCUCUAUCAGCAGUGUGGGAUACUCUCAAUUAUUAUAUAUUGAAUAUUAUUCGAAAAAAUGUUAGCAGGAACAAUGCUAUUUCCGCAUUAAUCUGUGUGUUCUCUUACACCUAGCAUUGCUUGUUGAAUAGAAGCUGUUUUGCAUAUAUCCGUGUAGCAACAGUUGCCUAAAAGUAAUCCUGUUUGCAUUCUCGAUCGACAACAGAGUUUCUAGUCCUCUGCGAAUAUUGCGAGUUGCACAGUAAACUUUCCAAGAGGCGAUUAGGGUAAACGGCCUUAAGGUUUCACGCAGGCACUUGUUGUGUCAUUCUGACAGCUUCAACACAGCGGUGCUCGAGGAAAACUCUUUAAGGAACGGACGUGAUAAACGUCGCCUGCUGGAAACAGCUCGUACCACGACUAUCGAAGCCGCUUUUUUACUCAAACUGUCUCACCUGCCAUAGCCUUACGUUUGUAAGGCUAUAUCGUAUAGAGUGCUAUGUCUUGCGUUCAGUGUUGCCGCCGCAAGUAACACAGCAACCUGGAAAUAAAGCAUUAUUUAACGAGAUGGUUGUCCUUUAUGAAACAAAAUCUUCAGAGGAAGUUCUAAUAGCUUUCUACGCCAGCAGUUUGUAAUGCUAUUGGGUUUUGAGAAACGUAUAAUUGGGUGAUAUCUAUGUAUAUAUGGUUUUAUUGAUGUAACAAGCAAAUAUUUGUGAGGCGUUGUCUACGAAUACGUUUAUGCAUAAGCGAAACUGGGCUAUUUGAAUCUGCUCGACAUGAUUUAUCAGCACUGGGAUUAUGCAGCACGACAACAACGCGAGAAAUAUUGACCGUGUACCUCAAUUCUAACAUCGACCCUCUAGGAAAGAUUAAUGAAGCAGAUAUGUCUAAACAAUGCGUGGAUACUAUAUGUCAAGAGCAACACCUGAACAGUUGUAUUGUCCUGCAAGAUUAUCCUGUUCGAUGCUGGCGGCGACAAAAUGUUUGUUUCCUUUUCCUGAAGCGGCGCAUCGCUGUCAAUUCGAUCACACAGCUUCAGGCUUUGUCUCCGUUGAAUGUGUAUAAUGUUUCGCUUAUUAGAGUAUUAAAAACACCAGCAACGUAGCCGCGACUACCAAAGUAGCCAUUGACUACUCAGGUGACUAUAUCUUGUACGACCAUUACGUGAUUCGUACUAAAAAAGAUAGAAAAUAUUAGGUAUUUUCUAAUUCUAGCUUUCGACCAAAUAAGUCGGACAAGCGUAAAUUUUGCCGUUAUAUUGCGAUAAUGUUGUAUAUAUAUAUAUAUACAUAUAUAUAUAUAUAAAUUACAAACGUACAAAAAUAAAUUGAUUUUUCAGCUUACUUUAGACCUUUAUCCACAAAUAGUUUCUUCUCACGUAAAAUUCAUACAGCACGUGUCUGCAACGCUAGAAAUAGUCGAUAGAUGCACUCUAUUCAGAUACAAACUCGCGCAUAGAAACCCUUAAUGUAACAACUCAAUAGUAGCGCCAACUAGGCAGCAAGCAAUUAUAAAAGCAGUCGUAACGCAGAUAAGUACUGCAACUAUAUUUUGAGUAACUUGUAUGUUUAAUCUUGUUCGCUUUCGUGCAAAUUGUUGAUGCCCGCUCAGGCUGGUUCUUUCUUGUCCGGAUACAUGUAAAACCGAAUUGGUUGUAGGCUGACAUUAUUCCACUAUGGACAAAAAUCCAAUAUUGUUACAAAAGCGGUGCUGAAGCACAUGUACGAUGAAACGAAUGUCUACCCGUUCACCGGCCGCUACGCUUCGUUAAGUCUUGUUAGCUAGACUAUUCCAUAGACAUAAUGGUUCGUCUCUUUCGUUUGUCUUCACUUACUGUAUAUUGAGAGCGAUCUAGAAUUCUAGCGAGUCAAGCAGUGCUCAUAGCCGCUUUGACCUAUGCGUUCUAAACUUAUAAAUACACAUUUAGUAAGCAGGGUAAACAAACACGAAAAUUUAGCAAAAGUGAUAUUUUGACCUUAAUCACUUAACAGAACUAAGUAAAGACCUUUAACUUAGCCGCGUCGCCAGUACCCGUAUAGAUACCUCCUAAUGUAGAAGCAUUGUCUAAGCGUGAAGACGAGAAAGUUGUCAAUUAGUGCAGAUCUAAAAGAAUGAUGGUAUAACGCAUGCAUUGCGUCGGCGACGUUAACUGCCUGAUGAUCAAAUGUGUUACAGUGGAACUUAGUAUUUAGCUAAGAAACCGAAAAUUAGUUCUAGGUAUUUCGUAUCGCGUCACUUGUCUGUAAAUAAUAAAAAAAAAAAACGUUAUUAGUUAUUUGUUUAUAGUUGGAUAAGCACACGCAGCGUUCUGAAAGUUGCAAUCAGAAAUUAUAUACAGAUAAAGUUAACUUAGGUAUGGUAGCGAAGUUCUAUUUUUCCAAUAAAAACGUUUGCUGGUCCCUCUUACAUCUAUGUUUUAAACUAGUCUGCUAAGUUGUCGGCUUACUUACCUAUAGAGUUGAUUUAUGAGCGUCACAGAUAAUCACAGAAUGUGAUUCAGCUCAAAUGGCCGAUGAAUAACCAUACGAGUACUGUCUGCAUGAAAUUGUCUUCGAAGUCCUUGUUGGUGUCCCUUCACUCUAUCUUGAAGUCCCAGGCUUCAAGACAGAGCGCUGCUGCUGCUGCUGCUGCUGCUGCUCUGUGCACACUAGCUUACCUAAUAAUGCCUUUCUAUGCUGGAAUAAAUACGAGGCGUUUGAAAAUUUGAGAAUAGUCCUUUGCACAAUUCAGUAAUCAAACUUUUAACCAUUUAAGAUACCCUUUGAAACCCAAUAAAUCUAUAUAUAGAGUAGCUUCGUUGAUCACUCCUCCAUUCAGAGGUCAAAUCACUUUUGAAUGAAAUUGGUUAGAAAUUUUGUAUCUUUUCCUUAGAAAAUGAAAACCAAAACUUGCCAACUCGGGCGGUCACAGUGACUGAGCGAGGGUUCACUCUAACUUAUUGGAGUUGAAAUAGAAAUGCGCAGCAACAUCGGGAAGUGCUAACUCAGCUUGCCUCGUAAGUUCCACCAUAUACAAUUGUGAGUGGUCUCGGAAAUAUUCGAUCUUUCAAAACAUGCACAAUUUUUUUUUCGCCGGCAACAUGCAUAUAUUAUAGUAAGUGGUAGCUAUUUCCAGUAUCUGUUGUAAUGCCAACAAGUAAGUUAGUUGUAAAAUUAGCUACUCUGUCAAGGCAGCCGAAAAAUAUGUCGAAAAAUAAGCUUAUAGCCCUCUACAAUCGAAGCUUGAAUCGCUAGGCUCAUUGACUUUUAAAUCGCGCCUUCUGCCAUAGUAGAAAAUUUGCAAAUCUUAGCGAUAAAGCGUGAUGAAUUAAAGUUAAUAUCUGAUCUGUGUGCUGGACCAGCUGCCCUUGUAGUCACGGGUAUUUUCGCUUUUUAAAUCAAAUCAGUAAUUUUUUCCCUUAUAGUUACAUGUUGACCUAUGUGGUACUAGCUACGGGCUCAUUGAGAAAAGAGUUAUUUUAUAUAAUGAGUACUAUUACUCCAUUAAGAAUUGACCUUCAAUUUCGAAACAUUCUGUAUCCAUAUGCCUGUGUAUGUUAUCGCGCUUGUUCGUUAUUCGAGUGCAGCAUUCACGUCCUCGUGGCCUGGAAAUCCGAUGUAGACCACCGGGCCUGGGGCACACCACGGCCUGAUCUAAUCCGAACCAGUCAGGACAGCUACGAUGAGAAUAAAUGCAAACGGGCGUACAUAUAAGGUAGGAAGGAAUGACGGAUUUUCGCAGAAGAGAGAAAAGCUGGCGAAAGCAUAGCCCAUAGCUUAGCUGUUAUGCUAUUCACAUGCUGUUCGUGGCCAGUUCCUAGGAUCUGCACGGCAAUAGCUAGCACCUUGAUUAUGCGCGCAGCGGCCGGUUAUUGGGAAAAGGUUAAACUGUCAUCAGAGCGCUCGACAUCCUUUCCAUCCUGUUCUGCCUGUCAUAACCGUUCAAUUCCCAAUUGUGCAAAGGCAAAAGGGUGCGCGAAGCGAAAGACACAAGGCACCGCAACUAGGGACGGAUUACCAGUGUUAGACAGGGAAAAAAUUAGCACUUAUCCGACGCGUUCCAAGCAGAAGCCUAACACAACCUGAAAUUACAUUGAAGGCAAUUUAUUGGUUGAACAGGCAGCCGGACCGUUCCUGGACGUUUCCAUCCAAGGGUGGCAUGAAUGAAGACCUUAUCUUCGUUCUCGAGCUAGCUUUGUUAGUGAUAUCCACUGAUUUCCAAACGAGUUUAAGAGUAACGAUUUAAUCUGUCAUGCACGAAGGGAAGGGUUAUAUGAUUGGACCAAUGCUUCGGCGAUUGAAAUAUCGUAGCACUGCUUCACCGCUUUAGAUCUGGCCAUUCUCUAAAUAAAAGCAUGAUACUGAUAUACUUUUACCAGUAAUUUCGUGUCUCUAUGCGCCUAAUGCCCUAGACAAUCCAUGGUAUUAAACCAAGCUUAAAUCAUCGGGUCUAAAAGAUCAUGCUUACAUGGCAUAUGAAUUAUUGGAGAACAGCUUUUCUCUAACUGGUAGUAGUAUAGUUAUUACAAUAUCGAAUAAAGGAUGCGUAUUGAACCUGCCGAGUGUUUGGAGGAAUUCGAGUAAAGGGCACGUUCAAAAGAUCCUUUGUCGCAACGAUAUCAUUAACAGUCACACAGUUUCGUAUAAGCCUCUACAUUAGGAUCGUGGUAUGUACGUCCUACGUUUAUGCUAUACGAUUAUUAAAAAAUAUCGAAUACAAGGUGAUUGAGCAGGUCCGGCAUCGGCGUUCCAUCUGUGAAACGCUGUCACUGGACAACUAAUCUAGAAGAUAAAAGUAUCACCUUAACAGUAACUUUUACCGAAUCACAAUUACUUUAUCACAUCUGUUAUAUAGUCAACACGCACUACAAUUUUGAUUUUAAUUUUAUUUUUAGCUUUCAGAAAUAGCGGCCGAACUCACGCUCAAAUGGUCAUAUGAGCUAAUAUUGUGAAUACAUUGUAAGUCGGGAGGUCACAUUGUUACCAAAACCCUAAGCACGAAUUUGCAAGACCAGUUCGGAAACCUUUCCCAGGUCGUUGCUGUAGGCUUGAAUAGUGGAGUGUUUUUUUGUCAUACCUAAUUAUGCAGAUUGAGUAGAUUCUAAGCAAAUAAAGAAGUUAAAGCGCUUUUAUAAGCAAAGUCAGCUUGACAUUUUCAUGUUACACAAGGUCCUUGGUAGUUUUCGAUCCAAAAUACACUUACGUAUCAGUUUUUGUACGUAUUGUUUAUACUUGCCUAUAUAUAUAUGGAUGUCGGUGGGGUAAUAGCGUAACUAUUAGAAGUAGCUUGCCAAUUUGAUAGUUCAACGUCAGUUUCUAUGAAUUACGAUGCGCUGGUAUUCUCCGUCACGGCUGACUGGUAGCUUACGGUGUUGCUCAAGUUGCCUUUGCGCAGAAGACGACGCGUAGUAACUUAAUUUUCGACAUAUUAGAAAUACAAACGAGACGCUUGUAUCUUGCUUCGGCGUUGUGCUGGCGUACCUAAUAGUAAUAAUCAUAGUAAAACCUUUACUAUGCUGGUGGCCUAGAGUAUGUGCGACGAUCAACUCGAUGGCAGUAUCCAUAUUUGGACUUGCAGAACAAACUAUUUAUAUUGUAAUGAUAACUAUAUGUGUCUGUUGACGUGAUAUUUCCGGCUCCAGCCCGACUUCGUCUAGCCGCUGAAGCGACAACGUUUUUUGGCCCAUCAUCGAAAACGCGACGUAUUCUGCUGACGUAUUUUCUGGUAUGCUAAAACAACAGAAAAAAGAGUCCACGAACGAAAUAUUGCGCGCCUGUGGCGACCUUUUUCAGGCCUCCACCUGUAAUGAACUGCUUGUUUGCAUGAUAUCGGCAAAGGAUGGAUAGCGGCUACUGUCAAUUUACAUAUAACAGAAAUGUUCCUACAUUGGCUUUAUGCUGUCUCUAUCGAAAAUCAUUUGAUGAUUGCGCCAGAGCUACUUAAGAUGAUCAAUAAGCCAAUAUGUACCGUGUUCGGCCUUUUCAUUAGCCUUCCCUAUUUAAAUGCGGCUUACUUAAUUUGCUUCAUAUUAUCCAAACACUAACACACACACACAGAAUACUUUUUAAAAUACCGAGCAUCUGUGCACAUUUGCAAACUGCGAAUACGUUGACCAAUUCUAAGCUGAAAACUGCAGACGCUGCUCGGCAAACGUUCACAUUUAUUCUGGGCCAAAUAAAAACCAAUGCCGUUUAUCUUCAAGCACAGGAUAUAUAACUGUCACUGAAACGAAAAGACGCAUAUCAGAAUGAGCGGAUUCGUAGUAGUUAGAGUGACUGUGCAAGAAACGGGGAAAAUUAGUUAAGCUUCAGAGCUAUCUAGGUAACAGCCAUCUGAGCGCUCUUCUUUCGGCCGAUCUUGAACAUCUGCGAGUUUUCGUUGCGACUACGCAGUGACUUUUUAUUAACAAAUGCUAACACUGAAGAGAUGGUCGCAACAGACAUAAGUGAAAUGAGUAAAUUUAUAUAAGGUAAAUGUUUUCCAUCAGAUUAUUACUUUUUUUCCCUUGACUACUUGAAUAGGUCGGCUGUUUUUGUCUACUUGUAGUUGUUACCUUAGGAAGGAAAAGACAUGCAUGCGUUAUUUAAAAAAAACCCGGUACACCUUCAAAUGUCAGCAUCCUACGAUCACACCUAAACAUCCCUGGUCGUGUUUGCUAUCUAUCUGCUAUAUUCACGUAAUAACAGAAUGUCUACCUAUCAAGGCGACAUUUGCCUCACAGCGCGCUUGUCUUUUAUCCUUUAAGACGAUAGAUUUUAGGCACACAUCGGAAACGUGUAUCUUAUUUUUUUUAUGAAUGCUGCACAAACGUACUCGUAAACAUAAUAAUAGAAAAUAUUCUUCAAGCUAAAUAUGACCUAAAACAUCUUUUUUCUUUAACCAUCUAUCGAAGGUCAUAGACGCACCGGGUCAAUACGCAAAGCAAAUAAAUGUUACUGUCAAUCGAGAAUUUCUGUGUGAAUUUCCCCUUGUCGCCAAUAUUACAUCCACAAUCUACCGUCGGAGUUAAUAAAUAGUUUAUCUAUACAUAACAAAUGAGCCUCUUGAUGAACUUCAUCUACAAAAUAAGUUAGUGCCCAACAUUUGGCAUUCAACGAAUUUGUAAGUGCGGUCCUUACCGCUUAGGAUAUUUCCUCAAUGAAGUGCUAAUUUUAUAUUACAUUUCCGCGGAACAAUACGUCCUCAUGACUAGCAGCAUAUUGGCGUGAUAGUGCGUUAUCUGCAAUGUAAAUGUGUAUGUUUUUCACGCAAUCACAGUUAGCUUUUCCUCGAAUGAACAAAGAAAUCUGAGAAAAUAAGACGACAACGUCGCCGCCGCUACGUCGGCUGAAGGAUACGAUUUGUAACUGUUUUGAACCGUUUCCAGCAGUCCAAGAACGUUCGAAUGAUUAAUUCAACAUCAAUUGUGUGUCUAAAUUGUGUUGUUCAAUAUGAAGGGUACUAUCCACUCUACUACGGACGUGUUCGUGUCGUUGUUUUCUUAUAGCAAUCAAUACUUUUUUUAUUCUAUCUACAGUGCGAUACCUCCGAUCGAUCCUCUGUCCAAGUGUGUAUAUAUUUCAUUGAAACAGUACCAGUGUAUAACAUAAAAAUGCUGGCGCAUUUGCAAUCAUUCGCCUGGUCGACUCGAACCCCCUCCCCCCCCUAUAGAAUCGAAUGAAACGGGCCAAAGUGAAAAUGUGACGGGGACGAUUUAGUUGCUACAGUGACUGUCCGUAUCGCCGGCGUCGCUACCGCAGAAUUUAGAAAAACAGCCGUUUUUGACGGUGCAGUAAUGGUGGUGGCCUUUCGCGGGGACAGUUUUUCGUCCAGUGCCCUGCCUGGACCUGGCAGACAGCGUGCACAAGUACGUACACACAUAUAGACAGAGAGGGAGGGAGGCAGGCCGACAGACAGACACACACGCAGAUCCAUCCAGUGACAUUGUGAAAUGCGCGCACAUUGUGACGCAAUAGCUCCAUGCUGUUUUUUACCACUACGCAGCCACCCUUCCCACUUGAAUCUGUCAUUGCCAGCCCACCAACAGCAUCAACAAGACGGCCGAUUGCAGACCUGGCAACCGCUGAAAGUGUUCGAUGGCGAUCUGUUGUCGUCGUAUGAUUGGCGGCAUGAUGCGUCCCAGUCGUGUUCCAAAUGAACGAAGCUCCAGGCAGCGGUAGCAGCCCCAUUAACGUCUUGAUGAAGUUGAUGGUGAACGUCGAACGCUGGAUCUACUCCCGCCUUUUUGCUGUUCUAACUGGUGCUGUUGUUGUAGAUGUUGUCGAGGUGCGCGUUCGCUUAGAACAAAUGGCUCUUCUUUUGGCAAGCAAAAGCAGUUGCUGUGGCCAGAUAACAGCAUCUGCAGAGGCCUCUGCUGCUACAUACAUUGAAGCCAUAGAGCGACGCUGUGACUAUUCGAUUUAAGCACCGGCAAACUGCUGUUACUGAAAUCCAACCUCCUCCUGCCGCCCUUUCUGCAACGUCUAAUAUCCUAGGCAUAUGCCUGCACCGCUAGUGUAUCUAGCGUCUUUUGUCAGUUUUCUUAACAAUUAAUGCGUUCAUUCGAUCUGAGAGCGCUAAGCUUGGGUUUGCUAGUGGGAUUCGAUGCGGAUGGCCCAACGGGUAUUGAUAUACGAACAGAUAGAUGCAAAUAAACGCAAACUAACGAUGGGAACGCUGACUUAUCUGCAAGAAGACAAAAAUAGACCAGCUGCGAAUUUGGCGUAUAUUUGAUGCUGUUGGUGUUGUCUACGUCGGACUUUCGCUAGUAGUACUGCUGCCCGUUGAGUGCCCUUGUGUUGGCAGACCGAACGAUGGCAGCUGUUGUUAAACUAAUUCUCAGACCUGUCUUUGACUUGUACUUGGGCGAUGUGUUUAUGCUGAUGGUGUGAGCAAAAUACAAACGUAUGUUCCUAAACAAAAGGUGACAAGCGCGCGCCUGAUAGGUGACCUAUUUGAUUCUGUUCGAUGGCGACGGGCGAAAACGUAAUUUAGCCAUGUUUAUUGUGUAAAUUAAAAUUAAAAAGCUCAGUCAAUCUAUCUGCAUGCUUCUAUCAGACCCCAUUUUGCCAAGGGAUCAAACAGUGCCCAAGAACAUACGGAAGGAAGCGAGACAGCGUUAAUAGACGUGAAAAGCACCCAAGGGAGAUUUCGAGCGACGUCGAUGAGAUAUCGGCGGGUAUCUCUGACUGAGGUUUGAGGCUGGAAAAUUACGGUGUUCGGAGCUUGAUAUCAUCAACAAAACGGCAUAACUCUUACAAUAAACAGUGUUCUGUAAUUAGUUUUUGGUCGGAUUCUACUGUCGUUGAAAUAUACGACCGGACAGCAUGCAUUAGUAUUCGUCGCUAAUGGAAGAAGAUAGACGUUUUAGCCCAGUGGUCUAGAAUGCAAUAGGGAAACGAUCGUCCAUUACGAAAUGUGACCUUUAGGGAGACAAGACAUAUUCUAUCGCACUGGUGUUGUAGCUAUAUUCUGGCCAUUUUAAAGUUAUCCGAUCCCACUUAUAACGAACUUACAUACAAACGACCAUUUCAAAUAUUCCUCUAGCACUGGUAGUACUGAACAGUCUAAGUAAUUUACGUAGCUUAUACGUCAAUUCCAAAACCCGUGCACCAAAUGAUCACGUUAUACGUGACGUCACAUAUGUGAUAUUGACAAUCGGAAAAAAAACAGGUAUGUUUAUCUAGAAUUAUCUGUUUCUAUGUACAACUAGGUAGACGGAGAGAGACUCAUAUAAAACGGCCUACAUGAACUAGCGGCCACUCCUCGUUUGAUGUGAUCGGACAACAUAGAUGUAUAUAUAACAGGCAAUUAUAAAUAACACAAAGUAUUGAUAAUGAUUGCUAGGAACAACGAUAUGUGAUAUAGCACGAUGAAUGAUAAAAUAGACAUAUACUGAAACGCGCAAUGCAGUGAAGAAGACAAAGCUGAUAUGUAGACUGUUAAUAAUUUAAAUAAAUCUACGGUACUAGACGAAAUGUUGGUUAAUAAGCGUCGUAUCGUCGUUUUUAUCUUAUAGCUUUUGAGAAUAAAAACACCAUUCUUUAGUUGAUGAGGUAAAAUUUCCUAAGAUCGGUAUUACCUAUUCGAAUGGGGUUGAAAUUUAAGCGUGACUGACAAAAAAAAAAACGAGUACUAUCAAUGGAACAAAUUCAUUUCAACUGUGUUAUAUUCGUAAAUGGUCGUUCAGCUUCUCCUUAUUUCGGACUACUCAAACAAUUCGAUUUUAUACAAUUCUUUC